AUGCCGCUGAGUACGACUACGUCACCGAAGACCCUUCUUCCUAUACAACAGAGCUUCCAGGAGCUAGAGAUCCCGAGGAUGAUUCUAUGUGGAUUUUGGCUUCGAGGAGUAGUUAGGAGGUCCCAGGUAGGAGGCCUUGCCUUUUCGAUCGUUGCUACUUUUGUGCUAGCCAUCUUAUGGCAACUUGUUUAA
rnacentral:rRNA from 1 species